AUUGAACGCUGGCGGCAGGCCUAACACAUGCAAGUCGAACGAGUGGCGGAAGGGUGAGUAAUGUCAGGGAAACUGCCUGAUGGAGGGGGAUAACUACGGGAAACGGUAGCUAAUACCGCAUACAAUCAGAUGAGCCCAGAUGGGAUUAGCUUGUUGGUGGGGUAAAGGCUCACCAAGGGGACGAUCCCCAGCUGGUCUGAGAGGAUGACCAGCCACCCUGGAAUUGAGACACGGUCCAGUCUCCUACGGGAGGCAGCAGUUGGGAAUAUUGCACAAUGGGCGCAAUCCUGAUGCAGCCAUGCCGCGUGUAUGAAGAAGGCCUUCGGGUUGUAAAGUACUUUCAGCGGGGAGGCGUUACCCGCAGAAGAAGUACCGGCUAACUCCGUGCCAGCAGCCGCGGUAAUAC
rnacentral:rRNA from 1 species